GAGACCUGGGCUUAGCAAUGGAAGACCAUUAAAGUUAAUACAAAAUAUUGUGUAAUACUGGGGCCAGUAUGUUAUGUUCUAGUUUUAAAGAUUUCAAAAAAUGUUUGGGUUUGGCUGAAUACAUCUCGAGUACAGUGAGUCGAUGGUACUAAUGGAAAAAAGCCAACCCCUUCACAGAUUUGGGUUCAGGUCCCAGUGCAGAGCUACCCCUGCUGGUUGAUUAUGAAGCAUGUGUGAGGAAGAGCAGGGUUUUCAGAUGAUCGUGAGGACACAAGUGGCUUUCCACAUGCUUUACAGGUCAACGUGGGAGUUAGCAGUGAUAACCACCAAAUCAGGAGAAAAAUGGGGGGAAAAGAAUCUAUU